rnacentral:rRNA from 1 species
AGUGAACGCUGGCGGUAGGCCUAACACAUGCAAGUCGAACGGCAGCACAGUAAGAGCUUGCUCUUACGGGUGGCGAGUGGCGGACGGGUGAGGAAUACAUCGGAAUCUACUUUUUCGUGGGGGAUAACGUAGGGAAACUUACGCUAAUACCGCAUACGACCUACGGGUGAAGGCAUGGGAUCUUCGGACCUUGCGCGAUUGAAUGAGCCGAUGUCGGAUUAGCUAGUUGGCGGGGUAAAGGCCCACCAAGGCGACGAUCCGUAGCUGGUCUGAGAGGAUGAUCAGCCACACUGGAACUGAGACACGGUCCAGACUCCUACGGGAGGCAGCAGUGGGGAAUAUUGGACAAUGGGCGCAAGCCUGAUCCAGCUAUACCGCGUGGGUGAAGAAGGCCUUCGGGUUGUAAAGCCCUUUUGUUGGGAAAGAAAAGCAGCAGGUUAAUACCCCGCUGUUCUGACGGUACCCAAAGAAUAAGCACCGGCUAACUUCGUG